CACCCCAAAUGCAGCCUCCGGUCUCCCACUUCCCACUCUCCCUCUUUGGCUUCUAGGGUUUCGCGAUCACCAGUCACGAUUUCGAUGCGAGGGAUAUGGAAAUUUCGCUAAUUCUGUGUUAUCGUGUUCUAGAUAGAUAGUUUCUCCGCCGCUUCCAUGGGCUAGGGUUAUCAAUCCACGUAUUUUUCAGUAAAUCUGGUGUUACCGAGUAUUUCAAGCCCGUUUCAUGUGAUUCUAGGAAUGAGGCUAGAAAUUUGUUUGGUUUGAUGGAUAGUAUUAAUUUGGUUCUAGGUUUUACUGACAAUGCUUCUCUGGGAUCUGAAGUUAUUGUUGUCUGUGAUUGGAAACGAUAGGAGCAAUGGAUCACUUCUAAGAAAAAUUGAUGCGAAUUGUAAAACUGCUUAUCCACCUACUUUUACACGGAUCUUAUGACUGAUCUCAGCCUUAACGUUAGGAUUGAUACUGACAGUUGGUGACGUGUUCUGUCGGAAGCCUCUAUUCUUGAUUUAUGGAUAUGAUAGCAGAUUGAGGUGGAGGAUCUCUUCAUUUUAUCUAAAAGUUACUAUGUGGUUUAUGAUAUCAUUUUAUUUGAUUAACUAUUUUGAUAGCAGUGGAAUUGACUAUUUGAAGUUCCUUGGACCGGGGCUUAUUAUGAUUCAAAUGUUUUGAAGGAAAAUCCAGUAUGCAUCCUAAUAUGCUUUAACAGAGAAGUUCUUAUACAUUUAAACAUUAAGAGGCUAGUGAACUUUGAUUUCAUUACUGUAUGUGUAAUUUGUGCAUCUAUUCUUCAUUUGUCUAUGUGCGAACUUACUAGAUGGAGUGUUUUAUGCAAUACGUUCAUCACCGAACAUGAAAUUUUGUUUUUCCUCUGGCACUUUUAAGCAAAGGCUGUUACGUGAAGGGUUCCUCAGCAUGAUGCCACUUUUGUCUCUGGAUCCAUUAAUAUACUUCUACAACAUUCAUUUGCAUGCAAAACAUAAUUCUUUUUUUCAAAUUAUUAUAAUUUUUGUCUUUCCAUUCAGAGUAGAAGAUGACAGUGGAAAUGACCUAGAUCCUCCUUAGUGCACAGCCAGUGGUUGCCACUAUUUGAAAAACAUGUAGAAUAAAGUUUCAAACAGUUGAAGGGACAAAGCUUUCUGCUAUCUUGCUGUCACUUUCUAGUGAGUUGGUAAACAAUGAGAAACCUGUUGAUGGCCGUCAGUUGGCUGCUUUGGUUCUUAAAAUGCCUUGGAUGCAAAAUAGUAACACAGGAAAAAUGAACUUGUUCAAAGACUGAAGUCAAAGCUUUGUGAACACUUGCAAUCAAAGCUUUGUGAACACUUGCAAUCCCUCAUGUUGAUGCUAGGUCCACUCCAUCACAAGUCAUUGCUAAGAUUGCAGGUAUUGAGCUACCUCAAGAUCAGUGGUCUGAACUAGGAAGCCUCAUGUUAGGCAAGCCACAUUAGAAAUCCUGGGUUACUCAUGUGAGGAAGACUCUGCAAGUUAUUGUUCCAGACCAAAUGAAUAGAUACUUAAGUUGUCUAGGGCAUCAAUUCUUCCAAGUGGAGUGCUGAUGUCUGGCUGGCUGCUAAGCAAGCAUUGUACGGUGUACUAGUUUUUGCACAAGUGGAUUUCUCAAAUGGCAUGGAAAGAGAGACUAUAUCAUGAGAGUUAUUUGUGAAGCAACCUUACUUGGGACAUGCUUGGGAUUGGUUGCAUGGACAGUUGGAUAUAUUAUACUCCCUUCUUAUGAUGCCUUUUGGCAAGGAAAAUGUAGCAAAACCAGAUUGGAGGCCAAAGAGAUGCAGCAACUUAUGCAAUUAGAUCACCUUUGGAGGUCCAUCCCAGACAAGCACACAACCACUGUCACUGUUACACUAAACGUUAUGCUAAUGCAUUGACGAAAGACCCGAACAACCAUGUAGAAGGCACUACUGUAUGACGUUUGGUAUAAUUUUUGGGUUACUUCAUGGCUCCACUACAGAAACACAUUUUUACGCCCGAGAAUUGUCAGAAGAUCCUCAAUGAGCUUGCAACAUGUUCUAAAUGUUGCUGAAAAAGCCUGUGGAACUUUGUACUUCAUUGAUCAAGGCUACGAGGAUGUUGGUGCUGCGUUCCAAUCGUCUCCUUUCAAAGAGGCUGUUAUAUAGGAUGCUGAAAAAUCCCCCUUGAGGGCUGCUGCUUAUGAGACUGAAUAAAAUUUUGAGAUAUUUGACUAUCUGGUUGGUCCCCCUCUUCGUGAUGGAACUCCAUGAAACAUUUGAAGCACAAAGCAUUCAUCAGACAGGAGGGAGAAGCAAAAUGACUUACAGGGCCAUGAUUGCUUGGUAGAAGCAGAACUGCUAAAGCACAAAAUUUGAUAGCUAGUAAUCAAUAUUAGUUUCUAGCUCAAAACAAUGAUUGCUAGAUCAUUUGAACAAGUGAGAGUUUCAGAUGGUGCUGGAAAAGAAAGUGAAACCCCAUCAAAUGUACCAGCUAGAAGAGUCAUCACCGAAUUCUUCAUUUCCAGAAUGUACAGGUUUCUGUGCAAAAUUUAAGAGAGCAGAGAAGAUGACUGUUCUAUGGCAUGGCAAUGAAGCAAGAGAGGUAGAUAACUGGUCAACUACUGGAAUGUGGCAACCCAGUAAUAUCAAAGUCACCACCCAUUUCUUGGUAUCAACUUGAAACAACAGUCAUGGUGGAUGGGAGUGGUCUUCUUUUUUCUCCUUAUGCUGAAACAACUUGUGCAUCCAAACUAUUGAAGAACUAUGAUCAUCAUAGGUGCACUAUACAGAAAUCACACAGAAAGCAAUAUAAAGAAAAUAUGAAACAGCAUGCAGCACCAAAGGAACCAUCCAGUGAUUUAGCACCACAUUUUUUCAGCCACACAUUUGGCCUUUUCGGCAAUGGUUGGUCCACUUUGUAUGGCUCAGUUUGACACCACAAAAUGUGGAUAGAGAACUGCUUUUCGUGAUGGCGAAUAUCUUCUGCGACCGAGUUCUUUUGUUUCUGGAGCUUGGAAAUGACCUGAUCUAUUAAUGAAUCUUUGAAGGGGCCUUUAAGCAGAAAUAUUUAUCGGCAAGGUUAAUAGAGGUGGAGUUGGAGCCAAGCAGAAGACCUUUUUCUUUUUACCAUCAUAUCACUGAUCUUUUUGGUGGAAAUAGUCUGCAAAGUUAUCAUGAACAGUGAACCGUACCACACACCUCUAAGGCUUUUCCAGCUGCCAUUGCACAACCAUAAAAGAAGCCUUGGCCUCCCAAAGCUCGCACAAUCCUCCUCUUCAGAACAGCAGCAGCACUACCAAUGAUGCUGAGGAUCCGACCCUUCCUCACCAAUAUUUUGCUAGUUCUUCUCUUGGUGACAUCUUUAGGCCAGGCUGACAUCACUGAGGAUGGAACUGAGCCAAUGAAGGCCUCAGAUCUGGUGUCCAAGGUGCAAACAAGAAAGGUUUUGGUAGAGGGUAUACUAGAUUACGACUAUGGAGGACACAACUCCAGACAUGAACCCAGGAGAGGAAAGUCAGGAAAUGGUGGUAAUCCAUAGAUGGACGCCUCAAGCCUCAAGCCUCAAGCCUCUUCGCCAAAGGGCCUUAGUGGACUAGCGUCCCAUCUUGUUCAUCAAUCCGCUUAAUGUACAACUACUAGAUCUUCAAAUCCAUUAUUGUGACUUUUUUCUUUGUUAGUUUGGUUGCCCCCAGAUAUGGAGACAUGUUAACUUGUGCUUGUAAGUAGUUCUUCCAGUGAGAUGUUGUGCUUGAGAAGAACCUAAGUAUUAAUGUCAGAAACAAAAAGGAGCAAUACUCUCAUUUUCACCA